UACGUAGGGAGCAAGCGUUGUCCGGAAUCAUUGGGCGUAAAGCGCGCGUAGGUGGCUCUAUAUGUCCGUUGUGAAAGUCAAAGGCUCAACCUUUGAAAGCCGAUGGAUACUGUAGAGCUAGAGUCCGGAAGAGGCGAGUGGAAUUCCUGGUGUAGCGGUGGAAUGCGCAGAUAUCGGGAGGAACACCGGUGGCGAAGGCGGUUCUCUGGGCCUGUACUGGACGCUGAGGAGCGAAAGCGUGGGGAGCGAACAG
rnacentral:rRNA from 1 species